ACACCUGAUUUACGUGGUUCGGUCAAUUGACUUUGACCUAUAUCCACAGACGAAAGAGGAGCAAAUCACUACUAUAAAAGGGACAAUUACAAAUGUCUUAGGAAGAUGUUCCUAGGAAAACACCCGAAAAUACUAAACAAGAAAAACUUAAAGUAUAAGUCCAAACUAUUUAACUGAGGGUGGACUUAAACCAAAGUAAAUACUUAGGUUUUCUUGUGGUGCCACUUGUGAUGCGACUUAUGGUGCCACUUGUGAUGUGACUUGUGGUGCAUCUGACUUCAAAGCUCAAACCCUUAUUUAUAGUUCGAAUACGAGACAACAAGUCUGAUUUUUCCGAUGUGGGAUUAUGGGACUUGCCAAACUAACAAAUCUCCACCUUGGCAUGUCCUAACAAAACUUGCUCCACCUUCUUCAUAAAAGCCCCAACGGGCAAUCACUAACAAUGAACACCAACCAAGUCCAAGCACUGCUUGAACUUGUAAACCGGAAGAGGCUUCGUAAACAUAUCAGCUGGAUUGUCCUUCAUAUGAAUUUUCUGAACAAGGACCUUUCCCUCAGCACUAGUAUCCCAUUUGCAUCUAACAAUUUUCUUACCUGAAGGCGGCUUCACAAGAUCCCAAGUUCUAUUCCGAUGGAGAGACUCAAUUUCUUCAUUCAUCGCAAUCAACCACUUAGCAGAAUUAUCACAAGAAACUGCAUCCGAGUAGGAAGUAGACUCACCAACUUCACUUGUCUCUUCUACAACAGACAAAGCAUAUGCAAUCAAAUUUGCAUAUCUUUGUGGUGAUCGAAUAUUUCUCCGUGGUCUAUCCUUGGCUAUGGAAUAUUGCUCUUCCUCUAGAUCAUCUUCGUUAGUAGACUCAAGACCAUCUACCGGCAUUCUUUGAAUAGAAGAGUUCAACUUAAAAGAAUCUGAAUUACCAAUCUCAAGCUCCACCUACUUCUGCGCAUUAUCAUUUGUACAACUAGUAGAAUCCUCUUUAGAAGAUAACAUAAACAAUUCAUCAAAAGUAACAUCUCUACUGAUUACAAAUUUUGGGGAUUUGGGAUCAGAACACCAUAAUCUGUAUCCUUUCACCCCAGAAGCAUACCCAAGGAAAAUGCACUUUUUAGCUCGAGGCUCUAAUUUUCCUUCAUUUACAUGCAUGUAUGCUGGACACCUAAAAAUUUUUAAAUCAAAGUAAUCAACAGGAGUACCUGACCAAACUUCCUCCGGAGUUUUAAAGUUAAGUGCUGCAGAAGAAGCGCGGUUGACAACGUAACAGGCCAUAUUAAUCGCCUCUACCCAAAAGUCCUUUGUCAACCCUACAUUUGAGAUCAUACAUCUUGUUCUCUCCAAGAGUGUUCUGUUCAUACGUUCGACCAUACCAUUUUGUUGAGACGUCAUCCUAACAGUGCGAUGCCGAACGAUUCCUUCAUUUUUGCAAAAUUCAUUAAAGUCACCUUCACAAAAUUCCAUGCCAUUAUCUGUUCGAAGUUGCUUAAUAUGUUUACUUGUUUGCUUCUCAAUCAAAGCCUUCCAUUGUUUAAAGGUUAGAAAAACAUCAUUUUUAUGCUUCAAAAAAUAAACCCAAACUUUCCUAGAAUAAUCGUCAAUGAAAGUCAACAUAUACCUAGCACCACCCUUAGACUGAACAUGAGCUGGACCCCAAAGGUCUGAAUGAAUAUAGUCAAGAGUACCUUUCGUUUUGUGAACUGCCGGAGAAGUGAAGCUGACUCUUUUCUGCUUUCCAAAAAUGCAGUGUUCACAAAAGUCCAGUGGCCCAGUACUUUGUUCGCAAAGUAGACUUCUUUUGCUCAAUAUGCUCAAACCUUUUUCACUCAUAUGACCCAAACGCAUAUGCCAUAAUUUGGUGAUGUCAAAAUCAGAUAAUGAUGAUGACGAAACUGCAACCAAACCUGUGACAGUAGUUCCCUGCAGAAUAUACAAGCUACCAGACCUACAAGCUUUCAUAACAACAAGAGCACUUCUAGAAACUUUCAUAACUCCACCUUCAGCUGUGUAUUUACACCCAAGGGCCUCUAGGGUGCCUAAAGAGAUGAGAUUCUUUUUUAAAUCAGGAACAUGUCUAACAUUAGUGAGCGUCCUCACAAUACCAUCAUCCAUUUUAAUUCGGAUUGUGCCUCUACCAACAACAUCACAUGCGACAUUAUUGCCUAUCAAAACAAUUCCACCAUUACAAGAUUCAUAUGUGGAAAACAUAUCCCUAUUGGGACACAUGUGAUAAGAACAACCUGAAUCUAAAAUCCAUUCAUUUUUAGACCUCGUCCUAUCAUCAGUAGCAAAGAAAAUAUUUUCAACAUUCUCAUCAGAUGCUACACUAGCUUCAGCGGACUCAGUAGUUUUCUCAACAAGUUUUCCCUUUUGCUUUAAUUUAUUUUUCAAUUUAAAGCAAUCAGUCUUAUUGUGCCCCAUUUUGUGACAAUAUCUACAUUCCAAAUUUCUAUGUCUGGAUUUAGAUCUACUACUGUCAAAUUCUCUUUUAUCCAUUCUCCCCCUGACAACCAGACCCUCAGCCUGAUUCUCUCUACUUUCCCCAGUGAUAUUCCUGUCUAUCUGUUCCUUAGAUUUCAGUGCAGAUUUAAUUUCUUGAUACAAAACUAUUUCUUUUCCAUAAAUCAAAGUAUCACGGAAAUGCUUAAAAGAUUGGGGAAGAGAACACAAAAGUAACAAAGCCUUAUCCUCAUCAUCAAUUUUUGCAUCUAUAUUCUCCAAAUCCAUAACCAAAGAAUCAAACUUAUCAAGAUGCGAGAGUAUAGAUGUACCUUCAAUCAUCCGAAGCAUAUACAGACUCUACUUCAAGUAGAGACGAUUCUCCACUGUCCUCUUCAUGUACAAGGUUUUAAGCUUAUCCCACAUGCUCUUAGCCGUAGUCUCUGUAGCUACCUCCCGUAAAACCUCGUCAGAGAGAUUUAGAAUGAUGCUUGAUCGGGCCUUCUUAUCCAUACCCACAAGCUCUUCUUUUGACAUAUCAUCUCGAAUGCUCUCGGCUCCCUGUAGUACCAAAUCAACUCCGUCUUAAACUAGAAUGACCUCCAUCUUGAGUUGCCACAAGCCGAAGUUGACAUUUCUGUCGAAUUUCUCGACAACAAUCUUUGUUAUUGUCAUCAUUGUCAAAAGAUCCCGAAACCAGGCUCUGAUACCAGUUUGUUAGAGCUAGCCCUAGAAAAUUUACCACAAGGUAAUUUUGGCAACACAACAAAGACAAUAAAGCAGAAAGAAUAAAAGCGACAAGAACACCAUAUUUACGUGGUUCGGUCAAUUGACUUUGACCUACAUCCACGGACGAAAGAGGAGCAAAUCACUACUAUAAAAGGGACAAUUACAAAUGCCUUAGGAAGAUGUUCCUAGGCCAUAAAACACCCGAAAAUCCUAAACAAGAAAAACUCAAAGUAUAAGUCCAAACUAUUUAACUGAGUGUGGACUUAAACCAAAGUAAAUACUUAGGUUUUCUUGUGGUGCCACUUGUGGU
rnacentral:lncRNA from 1 species